rnacentral:rRNA from 1 species
UACGGGGGGAGCAAGCGUUGUUCGGAUUUACUGGGCGUAAAGGGCGCGUAGGCGGCGUGGUAAGUCACUUGUGAAAUCUCUGAGCUUAACUCAGAACUGCCAAGUGAUACUGCAGUGCUAGAGUGUGGAAGGGGCAAUCGGAAUUCUUGGUGUAGCGGUGAAAUGCGUAGAUAUCAAGAGGAACACCUGAGGUGAAGACGGGUUGCUGGGCCAACACUGACGCUGAGGCGCGAAAGCCAGGGGGAGCAAACGGGG